AUUUAGUUAGUUUAAUUAAAAUAUUGAUUUGUGAUAUCAAAGUUAUAUUGUUGUAUUCUAAAUU
rnacentral:tRNA from 1 species